UGGAUAAAGCGUGGGGGUCCGAGGAAUCGGGCUGAGAGUACGGCUAGUCCGCCGUUAACCAUUUGAACCUGUUGGGUCAUGCCAGCGUAGGGAGAGGUGAGAGACACACU
rnacentral:ncRNA from 1 species